rnacentral:rRNA from 1 species
GAUGAACGCUAGCGGCAGGCUUAACACAUGCAAGUCGAGGGGUAACAGGGAAGAGCUUGCUUUUCUGCUGACGACCGGCGCACGGGUGCGUAACGCGUAUAGAACCUACCUUUUACAGGGGAAUAGCCCAGAGAAAUUUGGAUUAAUGCCCCAUAGUAUUAUUGAAUGGCAUCAUUUAAUAAUUAAACAUUUAUGGGUAAAAGAUGGCUAUGCGUUCUAUUAGCUAGAUGGUAAGGUAACGGCUUACCAUGGCAACGAUAGAUAGGGGUCCUGAGAGGGAGAUCCCCCACACUGGUACUGAGACACGGACCAGACUCCUACGGGAGGCAGCAGUGAGGAAUAUUGGACAAUGGAGGCAACUCUGAUCCAGCCAUGCCGCGUGCAGGAAGACGGUCCUAUGGAUUGUAAACUGCUUUUAUAUAGGAAGAAACCUUUCCACGUGUGGAAAGCUGACGGUACUAUAAGAAUAAGCACCGGCUAACUCCGUGCCAGCAGCCGCGGUAAUACGGAGGGUGCAAGCGUUAUCCGGAAUCAUUGGGUUUAAAGGGUCCGUAGGCGGACUAAUAAGUCAGGGGUGAAAUCCAACAGCUUAACUGUUGAACUGCCUUUGAUACUGUUAGUCUUGAGUUAUAUGGAAGUAGAUAGAAUAUGUAGUGUAGCGGUGAAAUGCUUAGAGAUUA